GAUCCUGGCUCAGGACGAACGCUGGCGGCGUGCUUAACACAUGCAAGUCGAACGGAAAGGCCCCCACCUUGGUGGGGGUGCUCGAGUGGCGAACGGGUGAGUAACACGUGGGUGAUCUGCCCUGCACUUCGGGAUAAGCUUGGGAAACUGGGUCUAAUACCGGAUAGGACCAUGGUUUAGCGUCUCAUGGUGGAAAGAUUUUUUGGUGUAGGAUGAGCCCGCGGCCUAUCAGCUUGUUGGUGGGGUAAUGGCCUACCAAGGCGUCGACGGGUAGCCGGCCUGAGAGGGUGGACGGCCACAUUGGGACUGAGAUACGGCCCAGACUCCUACGGGAGGCAGCAGUGGGGAAUAUUGCACAAUGGGCGCAAGCCUGAUGCAGCGACGCCGCGUGGGGGAUGACGGCCUUCGGGUUGUAAACUCCUUUCGUUAGGGACGAAGCCGCACCUGUUUUGGGUGUGGUGACGGUACCUUUGUUAAGAAGCACCGGCUAACUACGUGCCAGCAGCCGCGGUAAUACGUAGGGUGCGAGCGUUGUCCGGAAUUACUGGGCGUAAAGAGCUCGUAGGUGGUUUGUUGCGUCGUCUGUGAAAUUCCGGGGCUUAACUUCGGGGUGGCAGGCGAUACGGGCAUAACUAGAGUGCUGUAGGGGAGACUGGAAUUCCUGGUGUAGCGGUGGAAUGCGCAGAUAUCAGGAGGAACACCGAUGGCGAAGGCAGGUCUCUGGGCAGUAACUGACGCUGAGGAGCGAAAGCAUGGGGAGCGAACAGGAUUAGAUACCCUGGUAGUCCAUGCUGUAAACGGUGGGCGUUAGGUGUGGGGACUGGUUUUGGUUUCUGUGCCGUAGCUAACGCAUUAAGCGCCCCGCCUGGGGAGUACGGCCGCAAGGCUAAAACUCAAAGGAAUUGACGGGGGC
rnacentral:rRNA from 1 species